rnacentral:rRNA from 1 species
AUUGAACGCUGGCGGCAUGCCUUACACAUGCAAGUCGAACGGUAACGGGCCUUCGGGUGCCGACGAGUGGCGCACGGGUGAGUAAUACAUCGGAACGUGCCCGAUCGUGGGGAAUAACGAGGCGAAAGCUUUGCUAAUACCGCAUACGAUCUACGGAUGAAAGCAGGGGACCGCAAGGCCUUGCGCGGACGGAGCGGCCGAUGGCAGAUUAGGUAGUUGGUGGGAUAAAAGCUUACCAAGCCGACGAUCUGUAGCUGGUCUGAGAGGAUGAUCAGCCACACUGGGACUGAGACACGGCCCAGACUCCUACGGGAGGCAGCAGUGGGGAAUUUUGGACAAUGGGCGCAAGCCUGAUCCAGCCAUGCCGCGUGCAGGAUGAAGGCCUUCGGGUUGUAAACUGCUUUUGUACGGAACGAAAAGCCUUCUUUUAAUACAGGAGGGUCAUGACGGUACCGUAAGAAUAAGCACCGGCUAACUACGUG